GGCAUGGCGCAGUGGUAACGCAUCUCAUUCGUAAUGAGAAGAUCCUCAGUUCAAU
rnacentral:tRNA from 11 species